rnacentral:rRNA from 1 species
AUUGAACGCUGGCGGCAUGCCUUACACAUGCAAGUCGAACGGCAGCACGGGAGCAAUCCUGGUGGCGAGUGGCGAACGGGUGAGUAAUAUAUCGGAACGUGCCCGGUCGUGGGGAUAACGUAGCGAAAGCUACGCUAAUACCGCAUACGAUCUACGGAUGAAAGCGGGGGAUCGCAAGACCUCGCGCGAUUGGAGCGGCCGAUAUCAGAUUAGGUAGUUGGUGAGGUAAAGGCUCACCAAGCCGACGAUCUGUAGCUGGUCUGAGAGGACGACCAGCCACACUGGGACUGAGACACGGCCCAGACUCCUACGGGAGGCAGCAGUGGGAAUUUUGGACAAUGGGCGCAAGCCUGAUCCAGCAAUGCCGCGUGCAGGAUGAAGGCCUUCGGUGUAAACUGCUUUGUACGGUACGAAACGGUA